rnacentral:rRNA from 1 species
GACGGAGGGUGCAAGCGUUAUUCGGAAUCAUUGGGCGUAAAGGGCGUGUAGGCGGCCGGUUAAGUCAGAGGUGAAAGCCCAGGGCUCAACCCUGGAAGUGCCUUUGAUACUGGCUGGCUUGAGUCCGGGAGAGGGAAGCGGAAUUCCGGGUGUAGAGGUGAAAUUCGUAGAUAUCCGGAGGAACACCGGUGGCGAAGGCGGCUUCCUGGACCGAGACUGACGCUGAGACGCGAAAGCGUGGGGAG